rnacentral:tmRNA from 1 species
GGGGCUGACAGGAAUCGACAGUAGAGUGUAUCAUGUCAGUAAGCAUGCCGGGGAAUGGUGAUUCACCCCGUUAACAAAUGGUCAUCAACCAAUAAUUGGCGAGAAUUCUUUCGCUUUGGCUGCCUAGUUCUAGGUAAUUAGUUAGCCUUUAUGCCGCUGGUUUGAAACCUGCUAUAAACCGGCCGCGUAUAAUCCAAUGCAGGGUAAGCUGAGGGGAUGUCCUGACCUGAGGCCGACAAUCAAAAGGAAUCGAAUGACACCGCGUCGUUACAGUACCUGGUGUUGUUUUAAAUCCGAUCUGUAACUAAGCAUGUAGAAGGCUGAGGUGAGCUUUAUCUGGACGGGGGUUCAAUUCCCCCCAGCUCCACUU